UUUUAUGGUUAAAAAAUUAUUCCUAAGAAUGAAGAAGUUAUAAAUAUAGAUUUCUAUGUUUGUUACAAAGUUAGAAAAUUAACUCCUAAGAAUAAAACAUUCUCAAGAAAAGUAAUUUUCAUUUUCACAUGAUUUUAAUCCCAAGGAAGUGGGUGGGAAAUAACUUCCGGGAUGUAACUAUCAUUAAUCAAACACAUUUUUUUCAAAAUACCUAGGAAUAAAAUCAACAUUAUUAUUUCCUGGGAAAUGUAUUUAUGGGAGUCAUCAAAUUCUCAGCCGUGAAACAAACGCACAGUUUGCCAUCUAUUUGAGCUCCACAAGGCCCGAAUGAUUAGUCUCUACAAUUGCACGCAGAGAAUAUCCGAUUUACGCAAAAAAAAAAAAUCAAAUCAACAUAUGUUAUAUAGUUUCUAACCCCAGCAGCCAACCUAAAUUGACCAAACAACACACACCCCCUAAUUUCAACAACCAUAAUUGUGUACACAUAUAAGUACACAUAUCUUAUGUGAGACUGCAUAUAUUAUUAAUUGUUGUGUACACAUUUUUCAUUUUCAAUCCAACAAAUAUGGCUUUGCAUUUAUCAAACAUCUUUGGGUGCUUCUCUGAGUCUUCACCACAAUCAAAAAGAUACACAUGCAACGGUGAUGUUUGUGUUCUUAGAAAAACCUCAAAGGAAGAAAAUCUUGACAAAAAAUCACCUAAGCAAAAGCAAAGUCCUAGGAUUUCAUUCUCACGUUUUUCUAUCAAAUCUUCUCCAAGGGAUCACACUUCUGAAUAGCAAGGCCUAGUAAUCAUUAUUCUUCUUAGACAGGUUGAUUAAUUGGUGUUAUAUAUAUAUAUAUAUAUAUAUAUAGAAUUUGUUCCAUUUAUAUAGUUGUAUUUUUGGUUGUUGCUAUUAGUAUGUAUUCAUAUGUAUAUUGUGAUCGUUGAAGAUGAAAUUGGAGUAUUGGAGGCUACAAAUAGUGGCAUUUUAAUUGAAUCCAUUUUGUUUGAAUAUAAAGCAAUCACAAAUAGUAUAUUUAACUAACGGAUCGGAUAACAAACGGUAAUUAUAUAAUAGUACGCAUUGACAUAUUUUCAUAACUUUGCUAAAUUUGUAUGACUCAGAAUCAAAUGAUUAAGAGAUUCAAAUAUCAGUCAUUUAUGCACAUACUAUUGGUUGCUGAAUUUGCAUUUGAUUUAGAGAAAUAUUGUUUCGGAUGAAAUUGGAUCAACGGAUUGGCAAUAUAUA
rnacentral:lncRNA from 1 species